rnacentral:sRNA from 1 species
GCCAGGCGCGAUGGCACACACCUGUAAUCCCAGCAGCUCUGGAGGCUGAGGCAGGAGGAUUGUGAGUUCAAAGGCAGCCGCAGCAAAAGCAAGGCACUAAGCAAAUCAAUGAGACCCUGUCUCUA